UCCUUCAUUCUGAUGACCUGGACAGUUUUGAAGAGUACUUGUCAGGUAUUUUGUAGAAUGUCCCUCAGUUUGGGUUGCCUAUUUUUUACAGAAUUAGACUAGGGUUAUGGGUUUUGGAGGACAAUACUAUAUAUGCUAUCAACCUGACUUCACACUGAUAAUAACCUCGAUGACCUGACCAAAGUGGUAUUUGUAGGUUUCCAACUAAAGUUACUUCUCCUGUCUCCUUCCACAUUGCAGUCUCUGGAAGCAAGUCACUAAGCACAGCCCACACUUUCGGGGUACACAGUCAUGCUACACCUCCUUGAAGCAGGAGUAUCUACAUAAAAUUAAUUGAAAUUUUUCUGUAGGGGAGAUUUAUCUCUUCUCCCUCAUUUAUUUACUUAUUCAACCACUUAUUUCUAUCACAAUGGACUUGUGUGUAUUCAUUUUAUUCCUAGUGUGAUAAUCCAAUACUGUUAAAUUUACUUUCCUGCCCAAGUUCUCCCAGUUUUGGGCUGUGAGGGUGCAGCUGGCUCUUGUGUUCCUUUAACACCCCAACAGUUUUUUGAGCUCUUGUUUUCUAGUACAGAGAGCCCUGAGUUAAGAUUUUUCAAGUUUAUGAUGGUGUGAAAGUGACAUGCAUACAGUAAAAGCCAUACCUCAUAUUUUGAGAUAUUCAAUAUUUUAGUAUAAAAUAGGCUUUGUGUUAGAUGAUUUUGCCCAACUGUGGACUAACGUAAGUGUUCUGAGCAGGUCGAAGGUAGGUUAGGCUAAGCUGUGAUGUUGGGUAGGUUGGGUAUAGCAAAUGCAUUAUCAACUUAACAAUAUUUUCAACUUAGAAUGGCUUUACCAGGAUAUAACCCCAUCAUACGUUGACUAUCAUCUGACUACGAGAUGCUCCAGGUUCAUCUUGUAUAUUCCCUGCCUCAGCCCUAGAAUCAGCUAUUUCUCCAAGGAGCCCUGGUUCAUUUAUUAGAGGAUGGUAUUAGAAACCAAGAUUUGGGUGUUGGAUGGACUUGUUGCUACUGUCAAUUAUCCUCUGUGAAACCGAAUUGGCCAGUGGAAACAUCUUUAAAUUGGCUCGAUAUGACCCCAGUAGUCUUUGAAAGCUCCUUCCCUAUCUUUUAUGACAAGAUGUUCCAAGCUUAUUUGUAUAUUUCCUGCCCCAGAAUUGUAGUCAGUUAUUUCUCUAAGACACCCUGAUUUCUUAAAAGAAAGAAUAUUGGGAAGAAUAUUUCUGUAUCACAAUUGGAGUUACUAGGUAUACUCAUUGCUACUGGGCUGGUCCUUGUUUCUAAGCCUUUUCAGUGAAUAGAGCAAAAGCAGGGGUGGGUGUGUGUGUGUGUUUAGUUUUAAAUAAAAUUUCUCAUGAGUUCAUAUGGAGUACUACAGGGUUUAAAAAAAAUCUAAAUUCUUUGGAAUUACAUCUGUAUUCUUUCACAUUAAAAGUCCUAGUUCUCAAAGACAGAGGAUGAUAGAAUUAGAUUAUCUAAUAACUGCUCAUUUAUAUUAUCUCACAUUAUACAUAGUCUUGGAAUAAUAACACUAACUUUGACACUCCACCAAUAUAAUUACUGAGAACUGUUAAAAUUUUGCAUGAUUUCCCCAUUUCUCCAUUUUUAAAAAGUUAUCUACAUUAUCUGGGCACAUAGGCAUUACAUACUCUAUCUCCCUUUUAAUCCUCAUUUCAUCUUAAUUCUACAAGUAACUGUACAUUUAACGCUUGCUACCUGUCCUUAUUUCAAUGUCUCUCAACACUUUGGCUGUCUGAAGCUCAUUCUCUAGCAAAUUCAUGGGAUGGUGGAACAAUAUUUCUUGAAUUCCUGCAUGUUGAUAAAUAUCUGUACUCUUUAUACUUGAAAGUCAGUUUUACCAGGUAUAAUGUUCCUUGGCUCACAUUUUUUUCCCUCUGAGUUUCUUAAAUACCUGCUAUUCCAUUUUCUUCUUUCUUCUGGCAUAAAGUAUAGAUCUCAAAAAAUCUGAGGGUAACCUAAGUUGCUUUCCUUUAUAAAUCACUUACUAUUUUUACUGAGAUGUCUGUGGCUUUUUUUUCUUUAAAGUUCGGAAAUUUUAUUAGACUAUGUCUUGUUGGUCAUUCUGGGUCCUUUCCCAGGAACAUGGUGUGAUUUUUCCUAUCAAGUGACCGUGGCGCUCGAGCCCUCCAGGACCAGGAGCUUAGGCCCCAUGGAGAAGCUGGGCCUGGUGCCGGGCAGCAGUUGUGCCUCUUUGGUGCAGUGUCUCAGCCCCAGGGAACUGGAGCUUUGGCCCAGGGGGGCAGCUGGGACCCUGGUGCCUUAGCCUGCAUGGCACCAGGUCCCUGGACCCCCCAGGGAAACACAGCCUUGGCUAAUCUGUACACACUGCUCUCUGGGCCAAACGGCAAUAGCACCCCCACCUCCCUGGAUCUGGACCAGCCCUCCGGGGUCUGAGCCACUGAGGUGUCCCACCUUCCUGGGGAGCAAAGCCAACAUUGCACUGCAUCCCACCCCCUGGAGCCCAAGCCACAGCUAUGCCCUACCAUUCCUGGGGCUGUGUUGCCACUGCACCCGGCCUCAUAGAGCUUCCAGGGUCCAGAGUCACCACUAUACAGCAUCUUCUUUCCUGGUGCCUGAAUUGCCACUGUGCCCUGCUCCCUGGGGUCUGAGCGUCUGGAACACCCCUCCCUCCCCAGAGCCAUGCCAGUACUAUGCCCUGACCCCCAGGUUAGGAAUCACAGCUACGUCCCUGCCCCUGGGCCCGAGCUACUGAGAAGUGCCUCAGAGUCAUAGUCCUUGCCUUGGUGGGAGAGCAGCAUCCACCUGUGCCUGAGACUGAACCUGCACCCAUGUCACAGGUCCCGCAGCAGUUCAAGAAGACACUGGACCCAGGACCAAGCUCCACAGCCACCCUGAGCACCCGUGCCUUGGAACACAGCACUGCUGUGGCUGCCUGUGGGUCGCGUCACACCCAACACCAAGAGAUUCCCCCCGCGCAACUUUUUUAAUCCCAAGAAACUUUCCUUAAUAUUAACUUUUAGCAUUUAUUCUUUUUCCUUGCUUUGGCUUUCUUCUUCAGAUAAUCCUAUUAUCUAUAUGCCAGGUCUUCUUUACUAUCUUUAGUAUAUGUCACUUUUCCUCAAACCCUGUUUAUCUUUUUUCGUUUUAAAAUUUUCCUUCCUUUUACCAUAGUAAGGCAUUUUCUGUUGUGUUCACUCAUUCUUGUUUCCUUCUACUUUAGCCUAUAUUUCUGAAAUGAUUCAUGUUCCCCAAGCUGUCAUAUUUCUGAGUUUUUCUAAUCCUGCUUUAUAUUGUCCUUCCAUGUCCUAUGUUAUUUUCUGAAUAUCUUCCAACUCUUUUUUGGAUACCAUGUUUCAGAUUUGUUCUGUUUUUUUGAGCGUGUCUUUCUGUAGUGUUUUUCUCUUCUAAUAACUUUGUGUAGGGUUUGACUUUGAUAAUUUUCUGUUCCCUUUUUCUCAGCUUUGUGCUGUAUUUCACAAUCCAUAAAAUCUACCCACUUAAAAGUAUACAUUUCAGUGUUUCUUUUUGUUUUUUUAUUUUUUGAGACAAAGUCUCACUCUGUUGCCAGGCUGGAGUGCAGUGGCACGAUCUCGACUCACUGCAACCUCUGCCUCCCAGGUUCAAGCCAAUUCUCCUGCCUCAGCCUCCCAAGUAGCUGGGACUACAGGCACGUACCACCAUGCCCGGCUAAUUUUUCUUUUUUUUUUGUAUUUUUAGUAGAGACGGGGUUUCACCAUCUUGGCCAGGCUGGUCUCAAACUCCUGACCUUGUGAUCCGCCUCCCAAAGUGCUGGGAUUACAGGUGUGAGCCAACAGUUCAGUGUUUUAUAUUCAGAGUUGUGCAACCAUCACCACAAUCUGUUGUUCAUUUUUACGUGAAAUGUUUUCCUAAACUUGUAGAAAGAAGCAUGGUUCAGAGUAGCUUUUCUAACUUCAUAAGGGCUCCCUUUCUGCUGUUUUCAUGUGAAUUAAAGAAAUAUGAUUACUUGCUUGAUUGGAGUUCCUGGUUCUGGUCCUCUCUCCUAAUUUCAUCUGGACCUUUUCUUUCUUUUUCUAUUCCUGUCCUGCUUAAUUUCAAUUCUACUCUCAGCAAUUUCUCCUCAGUGUGAGUCCCUGUCCUGGAAGGGAGACCGGUGGAUCAACUUCAAGAGUUCACUAAGGACUAGACUACUCUAUCGCUUUCAGACCUUCUGACUAUUGGACCCUCAUACUCAUCCCUCCCAGUUUCAACUGCAGUUCUUAAAUUGGACUGCCAUUCUUUCUAGGGAAUACACUGUUUUGGAAUUCUGUUUGUCAAGUUUUUCAGAUGGCCUGUCAACUCUGGUUUUCUCCUGCACAGAUGCCAAUAACUGCUGGAUCUUGUGGCUAUGGGUAAUUUGCCCUUACCUGUUUUUAUUGUGAGGUUCAUGGGGAUACACUGCCACCUAUUUUCAUUAUAAAUAUUGUCCAUGGGUUUUUUCACAUUCACUGAAGUGCAACAUACGUGUAGAAAAGUAUACUAACAUUUGUAUAGCUCAGUGACCUCUCACAUAUUGAACACAUCCAUGUAAUCAGUACCCAGAUGAAGAUACAAAAUAUUUCUAACUCCUCAGAAGACCCUGUAGGUCCAGUUCCAUUCAUGAUCCCCAACUAAGGGUGAACACUUACUAGCUUUCAACCAGCACACACAAGUAUCACCUGUUUGUUGAAGUUUGUAUGAAUGGAAUCAUACAGUAUAUACUCUUUUGCGUCUGGCUUUUUUCACACGAUUCAGCUAUAUUUGUCACUUAUAGCAAACAAACUAUAGUUUAACCUUAUUGCUACAUAGUUUUCCAUUGUGUGAAUAUACCAAAAUUUAUUCUUCAUUCUAUUAUUUAUGGGCAUUUGAGUGGUGUGUAUUCAGUGUGGACUAUUACAAAUAAUGCUGCUAUGUUCAAUCUUGUACAGGUCUUUUGUGGACAUAUGGUCUCACUCCUCUUAGGUAUAUACCGAGUAGUGAAACUGCCAGGUCAUGGGAGUAUACACGUGUCCAAUUUUUGUGCAUUACUACCAGAACCAUGACCACCCCUAGUUUCCCUGCCUUUAUUUCCUUUCAUCUAUUUACUUUGGGCUUUCUUUGUUCCCUAUGCCCCCACCCCCACCCUUGUUAAGGUAAAACCUUAGGUAAUUGAUUUUAUCUUCCUUUUUUCUAACAUAAGUGUUGAAAGUUACACACAUUUCCAUCUCAGCAUUGCUCGAGUUGUAUCCCAUAAAUUCUGAUGCUGUACUUUCACUGUAAUUCUGUUCAAAGUAUUCUCUUUUAUUUAUUUUUAAAUGGGCAAACAUAUUUAUUGUGUACAGUAUGUUUUGAAGUAUAUAUUAUGGGAUAGCUAAAUCUAGCUAAUUAAAAGAUGCAGUACCUUACACAUUGUUAUUUUUGCAGUAAGAACACUUAACAUCUACUCUGUAUUUUAUUUUCAUUUUUUUUGAGAUGGAGUUUUGCUCUGUUGCCCAGGCUGGAGUGCAAUGGUGUGAUCUUGACUCACUGCAACCUCUGCCUCCCAGACUCAACCGAUUCUCCUGCCUCGGCCUCCCGAAUAGCUGGGAUUACAGGCGCCCGCCACCACGCCCGGCUAAUUUUUCUAUUUUUAUUAGAGACGAGGUUUCACCAUGUUGGCCAGGUUAGUCUUGAACUCCCAACCUCAGGUGAUCCACCCGCCUCGGCCUCCCAAAGUGCUAGGAUUACAGGCGUGAGCCACCGCACCCAGCCAUUAACGAUAGUCACCAUGCUGUAUAACAGAUCUCUUGAACUUAUUCCCAGUUAGAAGUAUUUUCUAAUUUUCUUUCUAAUUUCUUCUUAGACCUAUAGGUUAUUUAGAAGUGUACUGUUUAAUUUUCAAAUAUUUGAGAAUUUUCUAGGUACAUUAUUGAUUUCUAAUUUAAUUCCAUUGUGGUCUGAGGACAUAUUCAGUGUGAUUUCAAUUUUUGAAAAUUUAUUGAGACUUAUUUCAUGGACCAGUAUAUGAUCUACCUUGGUGAAUGUUCCAUGGGUAUCUGAAAAGAAGGUGAAGGCAUACCUCGUUUUAUUGUGCUUCACUCUAUUGUGCUUUGCAGAGACUUUUUUUUUUUUUUUUUUUUUUAACAAAUUGAAGGUUUGUGGCAACCCUGCAGCGAGCAAGUCUAUUGGUGCCCUUUUUCUAAGAGCAUUUGCUCACUUUGUGUCACUGUGCCACAUUUUGGUAAUUCUCAGUUUCUCAAACUUUUUCAUUAUUUCAUUUGUUAUGGUGAUCUGUGGUCUUUGGUAUUACCAGUGUAAUUGUUCUGGGGCACCACAAACCAUGCCCACAGAAGACAGAGAACUUAAUGGGUAAAUGUGUUAUGUUCUGACUGCUCCACUGACUGGCUGUCCCAACCCUGCUCCAGGCCUCUCUGUUCCUUGAGACACAACAAUAUUGAAAUUGGGCCAAUGAAUAACCCUACAGUAGCCUAUCAUUCACUUUGGGGAGCGGAAGCUGUUGUGAGCAACCCUAUGUGAGCCUCCUGUCCUCAGCUACAUCGAUGAGCUUGGCAGUGAAUUAUCUAGUCCCAUCCAAGCUUCCAGAAGACUGCAGCCCCAGCUGACAGCUUGACUGCAACCUCAUGAAUGUUUCUGAGCUAGGACCACCCAGUUGCUUCUGAAUUCCUCACCCUCAGAAACUAUGAUACAAUAAAUGCUGAUUAUUUUAAA